UCUGUGGUACCUUGUGGUAUGCACAUAAUAAAUUAUUGUGUUACUUCAUUACGUUUAGCGUGUAUGUUUACAUUGAGUAUCUGUCAUAUGUGGAGAUGUUGUUAUUGUUGUCUGGAGUGUGAAUCAUUGUAUGUAAUAUUGAAGUAUCGGUAAUAAAGUGUAUACAAAUAAUGAAUACAGUUGUUGAAUAAUCAUUACAGAGAAAGAUUCUCACAUUGGCGACGAGAACGGUGAACAGUGCAUGUGAAAUUAGUUUAAUUUCGGUUCGGGAAGUGUUGUCUUUGGAAAAAGAAAGAGAUGAGUGGUGUGUGUGGUGCAUGCAGAGUGGUGAUGACCUUCAGGUGAUGACUUGUGAUUGAAUUUCAACAUUGGAAUCAAAAAGGUACAACCAUAAGUAACAGCCAAGUAAUUUACCAAAAUGCCGAGCAGAGAUGGAUGACCAAAUGGAUGACUGUACUACUAAUUCUGAUGUGAGACUGAAGCGAGACGUUCAUAAACUGAGGAGACUAUAAGCGAAAACAACGUGGAGUGACCUUGCUGCGGAUCUGGAGAAAAAACGAGAUGUGGUACCUUGUGGUAUGCACAUAAUAAAUUAUUGUGUUACUUCAUUACGUUUAGCGUGUAUGUUUACAUUGAGUAUCUGUCAUAUGUGGAGAUGUUGUUAUUGUUGUCUGGAGUGUGAAUCAUUGUAUGUAAUAUUGAAGUAUCGGUAAUAAAGUGUAUACAAAUAAUGAA